ensembl:lncRNA
CCCUCUUCCCGAUACGAGAUUUUUCCUAAUAUCCUGCAUGAACCUCCCCUGGCACAGCUUGAGGCACCUCACUACGUGACUACCGGUAGUUGUCAUUUUCCCUUUUUCCCAAGGAGAUGGAUUUUUCCUGCCCGAAUUCGAGCAAGUUUCAUCCCAAAUCGCUCAGAGAGAAGAGAAGCUCCUGCGAUCCCUGAGUGAUGCAUGACUUUGUUUUACACGUUCCCGUGAGAUGCUUCUGGGCAGUUGGCAUGUUUCAAAAAACUUGUCGCUCGUGAGCUGGAGCAGAAACCUGACUGAGAGACACAGAUUAAAAAGGAUGCAAACACCUAAAAAAAAAAAAAAAAAAAAAAAAAAAAAGAAGAAGAAGAAGAAGAAGAAGCAGGCAAAUAAAUAAAGUCACCUCAGUGCUUCAUGGAUAUCCUGGCUUUUGCAAAGACUUGUCCAACCACAACCUGAAUAAUUCAAAGCAUUGUUGUCAGGCAGCAGCACAGCCCUCCUAAAUAGGCACUUGCCUUAUCACUCUACAGCAGAUGCUUCAGCCAACCAUUGGAUAUUGAAAACAUAAAUAAUGAAACAAAAUUUGGAGACAAUGGUUUCGGGGCUGGGGACAAAAUACUCAUGGAUAUUGUCAGUCUCUGAGUAACCAAGCAGCAAAAGCUCAAGUGACAACAAUAGGAAGGAGAAGAAUGGGGACAAGUGAGGAGGCCUGAAUCUCAAUAAGGCGCGGAGCUGCACAUGCUGCUGUUACCCUAGAAACUAACCUCUCCCCUGAAGAGGUUUGCCGGGGCAUUGUUUGGGGGACACAAGAUGUGUCAUACACCAGAUGGUCGUGUGCUGUAUAACUCAGUUAUCUGAGAGGACAGAGUAAAGGAAUGCGCGCUGCAGAGCUCGUCGCAGGGCCGAGCAGGGCACCAUCUGUUCUUUCAGAUCCAAGCCACUUUGCUUUUGCUUUUUUUUUUUUUCUUCCUUCCAAGGAAGGAGGGGAAAACAAAAUUAAAAUGAUUCACCAUUCUGAAGGAAAAGAAAAAAAACAAAAACUUACUACAGUUGCCAUCUCCCGCUUUAAUUUAGCUAAUUUUGUCCCCGGGUUUUAUGUCAGGUGAAUUGCUUCUUUUAUGCUUGGGAGAGCAACAAUUAUUUCUCUCUCAGGAGUCUAUCAUUUAUAAAUAAAACCCCUUUGAAACCUCAUUGGUCAUUCACCGUCUGAAAACCCCCAAACCCUCCCGACCAUAUGUUGCCGAAUGUCCCCUCUCUCCUCCCUGACGGCGCGAGUGGUGUUUGUGCAGCGUGGGGGAAAGAAGCCGUCCUUUCCAGGAAUUGUUCUCCGUCUCAGCACGGAGAGGGAAGGGGGGAAGGAGGAAAACAAAAAGCCAGAGUGAAAACCGCAGUCUGCAUGACGGGUGUAGGAAGGAAAUAUUAAUCACGGCCCACACAGCACCAAGGAGCGGUGACUCAGGCAUCUGCGAGGUGAGGCAGGAGUAGGUGUGGGCAUGACAAAACAGCAUGUGAGUGUGCUGCCAGUGCCACCAGAGUCAGCAGAAAGGCUUGGUGCCUUCGGUUGCAUGGGAUCAGGCCCCGCACGCACUUGCAUCAGCUUUUGCUGGAUGAUUCCUAUGAGAGCACCUCCCUCUGCCUGGCAAACCCACAUCCAGAUGGAACUGAAGGAGAGGAAAUGUUUGAAUUAAUUGAGAGGGAAAUCUCUAGGGAAAUCAAGUAAAAAGCAUGGACUCGAAGCAAAAAUUUGCAUGCAGAAUAAGAGCCAAAGAUCAUAGAAUGGCUUGGGUUGGAAGGAACCUCAUAGAUCAUCUAGUUCCAAUGCCUGCCAUGGGCUGGGUUGCCAACUGCUAGACCAGAUCAGCCUGCCCAGGGUCCCAUCCAACCCGGCCUUGAACACCUCCAGGAACAGUGCAUCCACAGCUUCUCUGUACAGCCUGUGCCAGUGCCUCACCACAUAAGGAGUAAAAUCUGAACCACAUUUUAUAUUUAGGUUCCCCGUAUAGGCAGCUCAGUUAAUAGUCUGAUUGGGCAAUCACAUCAGGUCUAACAAAUUAUUAGGCAAUGGUGAAACAGCAGUUGUAGAUGAUAGCAUCUCACAAGCUGCAUGUAAUCCUACUGUUUCCUACAUGCUUCUGGUGCUUACAGCACAGGUAGUUCUUGUAACAUCUGUAUCUAAUGUAUUAAUCUUUAUGAAUUAAUGAUCAAUAUAGUCAUAAGGAUAUAACAUACAGCAGGACUGAAAAGAGAACUUUCUCUUCGACUUUCUUUUUUCUUUUCUCUUUUUCUUCCUUUUCUCUUUCCUUUCCUUUCUUAUUCUUUUUUCUACAAGAUUGCCAGUGUAUCUCUCUUCAUAAAUAAAAAUUCACAUGAAGGAGAUGAUUUAUCCCCAAGCAAUCUCCUACCUAAGCGAGCUGGAAUAAAAAUAGUUAUUAAAAUAGUUAGUUAUUUAAAGAAUAACAUCAAUAAUAACAUUUCCUUCAUUGCAAUUUAGAAAAAUGAUCAAAAUCUGUCCAGCACCAGUGCUCAUCUAUGAGACGGUCCUGGGCACAGCUUUGCCCUCUUUGAGGACAAACCAAGCAACCAGCGUGCACCAGCAACCCUUGGAGCACACGCUGGCAGGGCAGUGUGCUUCAGCACAGCUCGCUGGAAGGAUUGUGUGAAACUGCACUGCAUGCUCAGAGUGCUGCACACAGACUUGGUAAAUUAUGGCAAGAAAAUCUGUAAAGCUUCUUCUGUUCCCCCCUCUGGGGAUUUGCCUCUCUCUGAUCCAAGAAAGCUUGCUGGUGACCGCCUAUCCCACUUUCUGCACCUGGCUGAGUGAUUUACCAGAAACUUGACAGGGUCGUGGAAGCUUUCUUUCCUUUGUUCCACGGGUGUCUGCCAUGGAGAGCCAAGCCUGGAUUAGCUGAGUCUAAAUCCCUGGGCAGUUCGCCAGAGCAAUGCUAGCUCUGAAGAAAACGGAGCUCCGAGAUGAUUUUGAGACUGGCUUUAUACAUCGGUUCUUCUUAGGUGCAAAUCCAUGGGCAGGGAGCAUAAUGCCUCACGUCAGGCUGGUAAGCUGUUCCCCGUAGGCAGCAGUUGCCAGCCAAUGUGGGAGUUAUGUGAACUUUCUGCCUGGCUCGGACAAUGCAGCUUCUCUGGGGCCAGUACUUCCCUGGCAGUGCUCCCUCGCCAGCUAUGUAGGCAUCUUUUCACUGGACAACAUGCUGCAUUGCAAUAAUAUGCAUGGACACGUUGAACAAUGCCUCCAUUCGGCACCUGCAUUUUCUUUGUUGUGGCGCCAACCAUUUUGUCAUAUUGGCUUUUGGGUCUCUGUCAUUAAGAGCGAUGUGAGGCUUCUCGUGCUGCCCUGGGAAAGCAUUCCUCAGUUUUCCAGCAUCCUUCUGUUGCUGCUCCAUAGACAAGGUGCAUGAAGCCUUGCAGGAGCUGGUGGCUCCUGAGAAAAAGUCUUCUGCAAGUCUUCUCAGCCUCAGGAACUACAGAUGCCCUCGUGCCCUGAAGCUGAGGCUACUCUCUGGUCAAAAUCUUUGGCUUAGGGCUGGGGGGAUUUUUCAGCCCGGUUCUCGUGUAAACAAUGUGAAUGCACUCAGUAUUUGUUUUGGCUCUCCUGAAUGGCUUUUGAACACGUCAGCCUAGUUCAACUGAACUUGACGGAAGGGUAGAGGGCACCAGAACAGCUUGCUCAGAGAGAUGGCCAGAAGUGCUGUCCCAUUCAAGGUCAGGCUAGAUGGAGUUCUGAGCACCCGAUCUAGUGUAGGUGUCCCUGUUCAUUACAGGGGAGUUGGACCAGAUGGCCUUUAAGGGUCUCUUCCAGCUCAAACGGUCCUAUAAUUCUAGAUCUACAAAAUAAUUAAGUUCUAAGUUUGGUGAAAAUUUGCAUUGAGGUAGUAGAGAGAGAGGCCCUACCACCGUGAGGUCUGAAUGUUCCUACCAUGGAAAGGCAUGAAUUCACAUCUCAUCAGACACCAGG